CCUACGGGGGGCUGCAGUGGGGAAUAUUGGACAAUGGGGGGAACCCUGAUCCAGCCAUGCCGCGUGUGUGAAGAAGGCCCUCGGGUUGUAAAGCACUUUCAGUGAGGAAGAACGCCUGGUGGUUAAUACCCAUCAGGAAAGACAUCACUCACAGAAGAAGCACCGGCUAACUCCGUGCCAGCAGCCGCGGUAAUACGGAGGGUGCGAGCGUUAAUCGGAAUUACUGGGCGUAAAGCGCGCGUAGGUGGCUGGAUAAGCCGGUUGUGAAAGCCCCGGGCUCAACCUGGGAACGGCAUCCGGAACUGUCAAGCUAGAGUGCAGGAGAGGAAGGUAGAAUUCCCGGUGUAGCGGUGAAAUGCGUAGAGAUCGGGAGGAAUACCAGUGGCGAAGGCGGCCUUCUGGACUGACACUGACACUGAGGUGCGAAAGCGUGGGUAGCAAACAGGAUUAGAUACCCCUGUAGUC
rnacentral:rRNA from 1 species